AAGUAAGAAGCAAAAACUUGCAUUUAGUUUCGGCCUAAAAAUUUGAUGAUUUUUCAUCCUUACUUU
rnacentral:tRNA from 1 species